GGCGGGUGCUAUAAUGCAAGUCGAACGAGUUCUCGUUGAUGAUCGGUGCUUGCACCGAGAUUCAACAUGGAACGAGUGGCGGACGGGUGAGUAACACGUGGGUAACCUGCCCUUAAGUGGGGGAUAACAUUUGGAAACAGAUGCUAAUACCGCAUAGAUCCAAGAACCGCAUGGUUCUUGGCUGAAAGAUGGCGUAAGCUAUCGCUUUUGGAUGGACCCGCGGCGUAUUAGCUAGUUGGUGAGGUAAUGGCUCACCAAGGCGAUGAUACGUAGCCGAACUGAGAGGUUGAUCGGCCACAUUGGGACUGAGACACGGCCCAAACUCCUACGGGAGGCAGCAGUAGGGAAUCUUCCACAAUGGACGCAAGUCUGAUGGAGCAACGCCGCGUGAGUGAAGAAGGCUUUCGGGUCGUAAAACUCUGUUGUUGGAGAAGAAUGGUCGGCAGAGUAACUGUUGUCGGCGUGACGGUAUCCAACCAGAAAGCCACGGCUAACUACGUGCCAGCAGCCGCGGUAAUACGUAGGUGGCAAGCGUUAUCCGGAUUUAUUGGGCGUAAAGCGAGCGCAGGCGGUUUUUUAAGUCUGAUGUGAAAGCCCUCGGCUUAACCGAGGAAGCGCAUCGGAAACUGGGAAACUUGAGUGCAGAAGAGGACAGUGGAACUCCAUGUGUAGCGGUGAAAUGCGUAGAUAUAUGGAAGAACACCAGUGGCGAAGGCGGCUGUCUGGUCUGUAACUGACGCUGAGGCUCGAAAGCAUGGGUAGCGAACAGGAUUAGAUACCCUGGUAGUCCAUGCCGUAAACGAGAAAUGGUAGGGGGGUUGGAGGGUUCCCGCCCUUCAGUGCCGCAGCUAACGCAUUAAGCAUUCCGGCCUGGGGGAGACGAACCCGCAAGGUUAAACUCAAGGGAAAUUUGACGGGGGCCGCACAAGCGGGGGGAAG
rnacentral:rRNA from 1 species